UACGUAGGGGGCGAGCGUUGUCCGGAAUCAUUGGGCGUAAAGCGCGUGUAGGCGGCCCGGUAAGUCCGCUGUGAAAGUCCAGGGCUCAACCCUGGGAUGCCGGUGGAUACUGUCGGGCUCGAGUCCGGAAGAGGCGAGUGGAAUUCCUGGUGUAGCGGUGGAAUGCGCAGAUAUCAGGAAGAACACCCGUGGCGAAGGCGGCUCUCUGGGACGGUACUGACGCUGAGACGCGAAAGCGUGGGGAGCGAACAGG
rnacentral:rRNA from 1 species